rnacentral:rRNA from 1 species
GAUGAACGCUGGCGGCGUGCCUAAUACAUGCAAGUCGAGCGAACAGAUGAGGAGCUUGCUCCUCUGACGUUAGCGGCGGACGGGUGAGUAACACGUGGAUAACCUACCUAUAAGACUGGGAUAACUUCGGGAAACCGGAGCUAAUACCGGAUAAUAUAUUGAACCGCAUGGUUCAAUAGUGAAAGACGGUUUUGCUGUCACUUAUAGAUGGAUCCGCGCCGCAUUAGCUAGUUGGUAAGGUAACGGCUUACCAAGGCGACGAUGCGUAGCCGACCUGAGAGGGUGAUCGGCCACACUGGAACUGAGACACGGUCCAGACUCCUACGGGAGGCAGCAGUAGGGAAUCUACCGCAAUGGGCGAAAGCCUGACGGAGCAACGCCGCGUGAGUGAUGAAGGUCUUCGGAUCGUAAAACUCUGUUAUUAGGGAAGAACAAAUGUGUAAGUAACUAUGCACGUCUUGACGGUACCUAAUCAGAAAGCCACGGCUAACUACGUG